GAAAACUUUUCAGGAAAAGGUGGAACGCUGAGGCGUUUCUUAAAAGGGAAGAACGGUGCAAGUCCGUCGCGGUCCCGCCACUGUAAAUGGAGAGCAUGCAUAAGCCACUGUGAAAAGUGGGAAGGCUUAUGCAGCUGAAUCGAUUCAACAUUCAGUUUAUUGCACUUGAUCCAUAAGCCAGGAGACCUGCCUUUUCUUUUGAACACUA
rnacentral:ncRNA from 2 species